UACAGAGGAUGCAAGCGUUGUUCGGAAUUAUUGGGCGUAAAGGGCGCGUAGGCGGUGCUGUAAGUCUGUAGUGAAAUCUCUGGGCUCAACUCAGAGUCUGCUAUAGAAACUGCAGUGCUGGAGUGUGGGAGAGGUGAGUGGAAUUCCCGGUGUAGCGGUGAAAUGCGCAGAUAUCAGGAAGAACACCUAUGGCGAAGGCAGCUCUCUGGGACGGUACUGACGCUGAGACGCGAAAGCGUGGGGAGCGAACAGG
rnacentral:rRNA from 1 species